rnacentral:lncRNA from 1 species
ACAAAUAAAAAAAUAUAGAUGGGUUCCCACUAAGGGCAUGUUUGGUUCGUACAUUUUGAAUCCGAAAUGGAAAUCGGUUUGAUCACAUCCUGCUAAUUUUGUUUGGUUCACAGGAAUCGAUUUGGGACUCCCAUUCCGGAUCGGAAUGAGAAUGGUCCAUUAGCUUACAAAUUGAUUCUGAUCUACAAAUUGAUUUCGGUCUCCAAGUCCGGAUUGAAGUUUCAAUCCUAAGCCCACACUCACCUCUUCCACAGCCUAGUCCAACAUUUCUCCAUCUUAUCCAUUCUUUUUCUUUCUAUGCCGAUCUCUUCUUUCUUUUCUCAUCAUUAAAAAAAAAGGGCAUUUUUUUUGUAAUUUCUUGCAUAAAAAUUUUUUAAAUAAAUUCAAUUUUUUUGGCAUAGCGCUAACUUGAGAGUAGUAUUAAUUUUUUUUUAAAAGUAAAAUUAGUAUUAUGUUAUUCUAUUAUUUUUUUACUUUGUAUCAACCAAACAGUGAAAUAGGAAUAAUUCAUUUCGAUUUCCAAUCCAGAAAUGAA